rnacentral:rRNA from 1 species
GAUGAACGCUGGCGGCGUGCCUAAUACAUGCAAGUCGAGCGAACGGACGAGAAGCUUGCUUCUCUGAUGUUAGCGGCGGACGGGUGAGUAACACGUGGAUAACCUACCUAUAAGACUGGGAUAACUUCGGGAAACCGGAGCUAAUACCGGAUGAUAUUUUGAACCGCAUGGUUCAAAAGUGAAAGACGGUCUUGCUGUCACUUAUAGAUGGAUCCGCGCUGCAUUAGCUAGUUGGUAAGGUAACGGCUUACCAAGGCAACGAUGCAUAGCCGACCUGAGAGGGUGAUCAGCCACACUGGAACUGAGACACGGUCCAGACUCCUACGGGAGGCAGCAGUAGGGAAUCUUCCGCAAUGGGCGAAAGCCUGACGGAGCAACGCCGCGUGAGUGAUGAAGGUCUUCGGAUCGUAAAACUCUGUUAUUAGGGAAGAACAUAUGUGUAAGUAACUGCGCACAUCUUGACGGUACCUAAUCAGAAAGCCACGGCUAACUACGUG